AGUGAACGCUGGCGGUAGGCCUAACACAUGCAAGUCGAACGGCAGCACAGUAAGAGCUUGCUCUUACGGGUGGCGAGUGGCGGACGGGUGAGGAAUACAUCGGAAUCUACUUUUUCGUGGGGGAUAACGUAGGGAAACUUACGCUAAUACCGCAUACGACCUACGGGUGAAAGCAGGGGAUCUUCGGACCUUGCGCGAUUGAAUGAGCCGAUGUCGGAUUAGCUAGUUGGCGGGGUAAAGGCCCACCAAGGCGACGAUCCGUAGCUGGUCUGAGAGGAUGAUGAGCCACACUGGAACUGAGACACGGUCCAGACUCCUACGGGAGGCAGCAGUGGGGAAUAUUGGACAAUGGGCGCAAGCCUGAUCCAGCCAUACCGCGUGGGUGAAGAAGGCCUUCGGGUUGUAAAGCCCUUUUGUUGGGAAAGAAAAGCAGCAGGUUAAUACCCCGCUGUUCGGACGGGACCCAAAGAAUAAGCACCGGCUAACUUCGG
rnacentral:rRNA from 1 species